GGGGAUGUAAAGGUUUCGACGGGGAUUUCAAACCUUGGUAAGCGAGCGGCGGUGCGGAACCGCCAUAAAAUCCGCAACUUUAAAAUUAACUGACAACAAAACAGUUGCUUUAGCAGCCUGAGUGCUGCUCGUUCCUGCACAGAGUACCUCGGCUGUGUAAGGGGCGUCGAUUAGAGGUAAAUGUGAACAGGGGAGCGCUCCGAACCCUGUCACAGCUUAGGAGCUGCCAAAGUGCAUAGCCUGUUGAUGGGCGAUGCACCGAGGGAGACUUAAAACACCAACUGCGCUCGGAGAAACCCUUGGCAAGAUUUUUUCGGACAGGGGUUCGAUUCCCCUCAUCUCCACCA
rnacentral:tmRNA from 2 species